UACGUAGGGUGCGAGCGUUGUCCGGAUUUACUGGGCGUAAAGGGCGCGUAGGCGGCAAUUCAAGUCAUCUGUGAAAUCUCCGAGCUUAACUCGGAACGGUCAGAUGAUACUGCUUUGCUAGAGUGCAGAAGGGGCAACCGGAAUUCUUGGUGUAGCGGUGAAAUGCGUAGAUAUCAAGAGGAACACCGGAGGUGAAGACGGGUUGCUGGGCUGACACUGACGCUGAGGCGCGAAAGCUAGGGUAGCAAACGGG
rnacentral:rRNA from 1 species